UUGUUUGAAUCCUGAUAUACAUCCCCCGAGGUACAACCUUCUUAAGUGUUGUCCAUGAGUGUAUAAACGGUUAUUAUAGUUUUAUAUUUGAAAACUCAUAGAUCAAUCUUGAUAUUUUGCGAAACGAAAUAAAUGAGGAGAAAAACUGAGGCUACUCAUAAUAAAUUCUCUAUUUGAAAAAUAAUUUAUAAAAAAAUAUUAUAUAUCGAAAAAUGAUAUAUUUUGUGUUUUUCAAAUUUAAAAUUAUAAAGUAAUGAAACAAAACUGCAUAAAUUAUGAAAUAUAUCCUUGUUGUAUAGUUAUUAUUUAAUUUAACAUUACUCACCAGAUGAAAUUAUUAUUACAAAUUAUUUAUUACACUUUAUAUUUAUAAUUUUUACAUCAACACGUUGUUUACAUUAUACAUCGUAUUAUUAUUGUUUAUGAUGAUGAUCUAUUCUAUAUUUUAAACACAGAAUACUACAUUCCCUCCUUCCUUUAGAUGAAAGGAAUCAUGUCUUUAUAUCUUGAUGAUGGCUUGACGACUCUUCCACUCCUGGUGAUCACGGGUUCCUUGGUAGUCGGCAAGGGUGGAGAAACCUCUGGUGGCAACUGUUGAAGAGCCUCGGCAUCAAGUCUAUCUGAAACAACUGGGUUAAAUGUAGACCCUGUUCUACUUGAACUUGGUCGGUUUAAAGAAGUGUCCUUGUCUUGGUUUGAGGAAAUAUCAUCUGGUAUUUGUACAUCAGAAGAGUUGAGGUGUUCAAUUCUUGUUGAAUCUGAACUAAGAUUUUCCUGGCUCUCUUCUGGAAUCAAGUCAGAAAUGCCUUGAUUGGUCUCUUGAGUAGGAACAUGUUUCAAAUGUUUAGCAUUUCUAUGAAUUAUUUUCCCAUUUUUAGUGUUGACUAAUUUAAAAGAAUUUAUUGAAGUGUUUUCAAGAAUGACAUGAUGUUCUGAUCUGAAAUUUGAAUCAAGUUUUCCAUUAUCUGGAUUUGCCACAUAAACUAAAUUUCCAAUUUCAAAAUUAUGAGGACUAGCUUUCCGAAUUAUAUCAUUAUAUGUUUUCAUUUUUUCUUUGUAGACCAUAUUGAAUUCUUUGAUGUUGGAUUCAUCUUCUUCUGCAUCAUUAACAAGUGAGCUUAAUUUAGUUUUGAUUUCUCUUGAAAAUAAUAGGAAUGCUGGAGUCUUUCCUGUAGAUCUGUUUGGAGUAGUUCGGUAAGACAUUAAAAUUCUGGAUAAAUCUUCUUUCCAAUCUUUCCCUUCUUCAGAACUUGAAUUGAAUUGUUUCUUUAGAAAUCUAUGGAAUCUUUCUAUCUUCCCAUUACUUUUUGGGUAAUAGGGUGAGGCUUUGAUGUGCUUGAUUCCACAUUCUUUUAAAAAUCUUUCCAUUGAUGUACUUACAAACUGUAAGCCAUUAUCUGUUACAACUUCAUGUGGAUAACCAUGUCUUGCAAAAAUCUCCAUCAAUUUUUUAAUAAUUGUCUUGCUGGAAAUGUCUUCUAUUGUCAUUGCUUCAGGAUAUGAAGAAUAGUAGUCGAUCACUGUUAAAACAUAAUGAUGGCCAAUUGGACCAACUAUGUCAAUUCCAAGUUUCAUCCAAGGUUUUGAUGGUAACGGAACUAUUUGCAAUGGUUGAUCAUUUAUCAAUGGUUGAUUCCUUACACAAAUUGGACAGUUUCUUAUCAAAUUUUCAAUGUCAAAGUCCAUGUUUAUCCAAAAAUAUUUUUCUCUUAACAGUUGUUUGGUUCUUGUCAUUCCUUGAUGUGUUUCAUGUGCAAUUCUCAAGGCUCUCUUUAUUAGUUUUGAAGGUAGCAAAAUUCUACUUCCUUUUAAGAUAAGAUUAUCAAAAAUUAAGAGUUCAUCUUUAAACUUAUAAAACAUUUGAAUUCUUCAUUCAAAGGAUAUGGCCAAACUCCCUUUUGAACCAUCUCUUUCAGUUUUUGAAACAAAGGAUCUUGCUCUGUACAAACUUUUAUCUCUUUCAAAGACAGUGCUUGAAGCUCUUCAGAAGUGAUGGAUAAGACUUUAUGAACAUAGUCCUCCAACCAUUUUUCUUCACUUGUGUUAGAAAGAGGUUGUCUUGAAAAUAUAUCUGCAAUAUUUUGCUUUCCUUGAAUGAAUUCAAUUUCAAAGUCAUAUAUGGUUGUAAUCUCCAACUCAAUCUUUGAAUUCUUGGAGGCAAAACAGCUCCAUUUUUAGGAUUCAGCAUAUAGAUUAGAGGUUUGUGAUCUGUUUUAACACAAAUUUCCUUCCCCAAAUAUAGGUGUUAAAAUGUUCAAUUGCCCAUAAACAUCCCAAUGUCUCUUUUUCUAUUUGUGAAUAUCUUUUUUCAGUAUCAGUUAAGGAUCUGCUGGCAUAUGCAAUGGGUCUUUUAAUGCCAUUUUGUUGUGAUUGUAUUAAUACUGCUCCAAGACCAAUAGGGCUUGCAUCUGUGAUUAAUUCAGUUGGUGAGUUCAAGUUGUAAUAUGCCAAGCAAGGUUCUUUUGUUAGUGACUCUUUAAGAUCCUGAAAUGCUUUAUUUGUUUUCAAAUCCCAACUCCACCUAACAUUUUUUCUAGUCAAAUUAUUUAGAGGUUCUGCCAAUUUAGAAAAAUUAGGUAUGAAUUUUCUUAAAAACCCACAAGUUCCUAAGAAUGACCUUAACAUCUCAAUAUUUUUUGGUAUUGGAAAAUUUAAGACUGCUUCUAUUUUCCUAUUAUCAGGUUUAAUACCUUCACUACUAACAAUCUGACCUAAAAUAUCCAAUUCUUCCAUGGCAAAUUUGCACUUAUUCCUGCUGAGCCUAAUGCCUACUUUAUCAAAUCUUUGUAAGACUUUUCUAAGCCUUUCUUCUAGUUCUUGUCUAUCUUUGGCGUAAACUACGACAUCGUCCAAGUAACAAAUUACACCUUUCAAAUCAAGCAAAAUUGAAUCCAUUCCUUUCUGAUAUGCCUCUGGAGCACUUGAUAGACCAAAAGGAACUUUACAAAAUCUGUAACAACCACGGUGCGUGAUGAAAGUUGUAAGGGGUCUUGAUUGAGGGUCUAAGUCAACCUGCCAAAACCCUUUUUUUGCAUCCAGCUUUGCAAAUACUUUAGCACCUUUAAGGGCAUGUAACAUAUUGUCAAUUGUAGGAAUUUGAUGUCUUUCUCUCAAUAUUGCUUUAUUCACUUCCCGAAGGUCUAUGCAUAGUCUAAUUUCCUCACUAUCCCUUUUUGGAACAACUAUUAUGUUAGAAACCCAUUCAGAACCUUGAUGCACUUCUUCAAUGAUUCCAUUCUCUAGCAUCUUAUCAAGCUCUUUAUUUACUGCUUCUACCAUUGCAUAAGGUAUACGACGGCAUCUCUGGACAAUGGGUCUAUAGUUGUCUUUCAAUGUCACUUUAUGACUAUAGCCUUUUAUAGUUCCAAGUCCAUGGAAAAGAUGUUCAUGUUCUUGAACAAGAGUUUCUAUAUUAGUAGACAUUGAUUCAUUUACAUGAUUUACCCUUUUAAAUAUACCUAGUUCAAAACUAGCCUUGCCUCCCAACAAAGAUUCAACUUUUUUAUCAAUCACAUAAAUUUCUUCUGAAAAUGAAUUUUUUUUCCAAGAAAUCACAGCAUUGAAAUAACCAUAACAUGGAAGAGGUCUAUCUUGACCACAGGCAAAAAAGGUUCGGGUGGUGUCAUGUAAUUUUGGCAUAAUUUUAUGGCCAUAUAAUUCAAGCAUCUUAUUAUAGCUUAUGAAAGUUCUAUCACUCCCUGUAUCAAUUAUCAUAUUUAUUUCACUACCAUCUAUUUGCACUUUUUCCUUAUUUUCAGCACCUGUAUAGUAGGUAUAUUCAUCUGAACUUUCACCUACUUCAGUCUUAUUUUCUUCUUGUAUGGUCUUAACUUUAGUUUGAUUGAAACUUUUGUGGUUUCUAUUAUUAUUUUGAUUUGGGCGGUUCCUGCAAGCUCUAAAAAGAUGUCCUAAUUUAUUGCAAUAUGAACAAGUCAUUUUUUUAGCACCACAUUCUUGUGCUGAAUGUGUAUCUAAUCCACAGCGAUAACAUUUAGGCUUUGAGGCACCUGAAAAUGAUGGGGUACCUUGAUUAGUGAAUCUACUUUUGUUGAAAUUAUUAGCAUUAUAGUGCUUUUUAGGUUUAUUUUGAACUCUAUUUAGUGUUUGAUCAUUUUGAGGUUCAAGAAGUCUAAUUUCUUUUCUAGAAAUUUCUAACAUUCUAGCAAUAUCAAUGGUUUUUGACAGUGUCGAAUUUUCUUGUUGCAACAAUUUUUCUUUAGGUUUUUUGUUGUUACAUUUUUCAAUUAUUUGGUCUCUUAUCAUAUCAGCUUCUAAACUCCCAAAUUCACAAGAUUUAGAAAGCUCUCUUAAAGAAAUUAGGUAGUUGUCGAUCGAUUCAUCAUCUUUCUGGACUCUUUGUCUAAAUUUAAAUCUCUCAGUGACCACAUUUUUAUGAGGUGUGAAAUAUUUAUCUAAAGCCAUUUUAGUUUGUUCAUAAUUUUCCUUUUCAUCUGGCAAGUUAAAAAUAUACGUUGUACAUUUGGCCCUAAACAAUGCAAUAGAGUUGCUCUCUUAAUUUCAUCCGAUUUUUUUGAAAUUCCAGAUGCUAUUUCAAAAAUGGCAUAGGAUUCCAUCCAUUGAUUAUAUUCCGCAAAUAAAUUGCUUGCAUUCAUAUUCAUGGGUAAAGGUGGCGUCAGGUUGGCUGCCAUACUUGUUUUUAUUUUUUGUUUUUUUUUAGGGCUACAGUUAUAUUUUCAAAUUCUCGUCGCCAAUUUAUGUUGUAUAGUUAUUAUUUAAUUUAACAUUACUCACCAAAUGAAAUUAUUAUUACAAAUUAUUUAUUACACUUUAUAUUUAUAUUUUUUACAUCAACACGUUGUUUACAUUAUACAUCGUAUUAUUAUUGUUUAUGAUGAUGAUCUAUUCUAUAUUUUAAACACAGAAUACUACAAUCCUGAUAUAUGAUUAUAAAUAUUAUGCUCAAUUGUUGGAAAUAAAAAAUUAUAUACUGAGAAGUAUAUUUUGGAAUAUUUAGAAAUCCUUUAAAAUUGAAUUUGAAAUAUCAGUAAUUUUGGUGUUAUUUAUAAAAUAUAAGAAACCAAAAUCACAACUAGGUAUUCUCUGUUAUUCUCUUAAUAUACGAGAUAUAUCAACAAAAUAUUUUAGUAUGGAAAUGGAAAAAUUGGUGAUAUCGAGACUAUGAAUUAUAAUCCAUUUAAAUCUGUAGGGACACCACUCAUUCUCAAUAAUUAUUCUAGAAAAUGUAAAUUCAAUUUGUAUAUUUUAUUUUUGGUUAUAAUUGAUAGUUUAGAAAUUAUAAUCUUUUUGUAAAAAAUAUUUGUUAUCAUCAUUAAUAAUAUUGUUGCCUUCGAAUUGUAAAGUAAAAUAUAUAAAGACAUUUUAGAUAUAAGAUAUUGAAUUAAUAUGUGUGAAGAAAAAUAAAUAGUUUAAUUAUUCAAAGUUGUAAUAAUUGAGCCUCAAGAAAUUCUCAAACAUAUAUUGGUGAGCAAGGACGUGAUCCAAAUAAAGCCAAAAUAUGAAGGUAAGCCAAGCCUAAAAAAAAUAACAACUUUGAAUUAGCGAUUCCUGUUCAAGAUCCAGAUUUUAUUUUACAUAUUACCCAUUUAUAUUAUUGCUAAUUUUUCUUUUAAUAUUACCUUUAGAUAAUUUCGUCUAAUAUUUUUAAAUUUUUGCCUAUUACUUUAAUUAGAUUUUCUUUAUCAAAAUAUUAUUUUUAACAAAAAAAAAAAUGGAAUCAGAAAAUAAGCCUAGCCAAAUUGCUACAGAAUUAUGCAAAGUCAGCAUUAAGAUCCCACCUUUCUGGGUUGAAAAGCCCGAAUUAUGGUUUCAUCAGGUUGAAGCUCAGUUUGAAAUAAAUGGCCUUGUUCAGGAAGAAACGAAGUUCAAUUAUUUGAUCUCCCAGCUAGAACCGAAAUACAUGGAAAGUAUUUGGGAUAUAAUGAAUAGCAGAAGCGACACCAAAUACUCUGACUCUAAGUUGCGGCUGCUAGAAUCGUUCAGACAAAGUGAAGGUCAGAGAAUAAAACAACUUAUUUCCGGUAUUGACCUAGUAGACAUGAAGCCAAGCCAAUUACUACAAAAAUUAAGAUCCCUCGCUACCCCAGAUGUUCCUAAAAAUUUGAUUAAAACCUUAUGGCUGGACAAAUUGCCAGUCUCAAUCAAAAACAUCUUAAUAGUAACCGACGAGCAAGUUGGCCAUAAUGGCUGAUAAGAUAAAUGAAAUAAAUCCCUCAAAGGAACUAUACCAGGUAAAGGAAGCCUCAUCCCCAAUGGAACAGUUGCUCGCUAAAAUGGAAGACCUCGAAAAACAGGUGUCUGAAUUGCGACUGGAGAGGUCGAGAUCUCGAUCUGAAAAUAGGACCUAUUCAAGACCACGAAGCAAUUCUCGGAAACGCUUCAACCCUGAUGGUAAAUAUUGCUUUUACCACUUCCGUUUUGGCGCCAAAUGCUUACCAAACAAGUGCAAGCCUCCAUGUAGCUGGAAGGAGUCGGGAAACGGGAACCAGCGGCAAAACUAGCGACUAGUUUUGUUGCUGACCAAAUACAGGAUAGUCGCAAACAUCGUCUUUUUGUUAAGGACAAAGAAACGGGUCUGCAGUUCCUGAUAGACAGCGGUGCUGACGUCAGCGUAAUUCCGCCAACUGAUAAGGAUGUGCCAAGCACAAACUCUUGCUAUAUGCUGCAAAUGGUUCCAAAAUAGUAACAUUUGGCACUAAGGUGAUCAAAAUAGAUUUGGGCCUAAGGCGAUCCUUUCAGUGGUGUUUCAUCAUCGCCAAAGUGAACAAAGGAAUUAUUGGAGCUGACUUUUUAAAAUAAUUUCAAGUUGAUACUUGACAUUAGCAAUAAAAGGCUAAUUGAUGGCAUAACUAACCUCUCAAUUCGAGGUGAUGUCAUGUCCAUCGACAGCACAAGUAUCACCAGCACCAUAAACAAGAACGAAAAAUAUUACAAUAUAUUGGCACAGUUCCCCGAAAUAACUAAGCCCAAUUUUUUAAUAAAUAAAGUCAAACAUGACGUCGAACAUCACAUUAUUACAAAGGGACAACCAGUUUUCUCGAAACCAAGACCAUUGGACCCAAUGAAACUGAAAUUAGCAAAAGAGGAAUUCCAGUUCAUGCUUAAUAAUGAUAUAAUCCGCCGAUCAAGUUCACAAUGGUCAAAUCCACUGCACAUGGUCUUGAAGAAAAAUGGGACGUUUAGACCUUGUGGUGAUUACAGAAGGUUAAAUGACUGUACAGUUCCAGAUAGAUACCCAAUUCCAAGAUUAAACGAUUUUAGUCACAUACUGAACAAAAAGAAAAUAUUUUCAAAGGUCGAUCUUUUUAAGGCAUAUUUUCAAAUUCCAAUAGCCGAAGAAGAUAAGCCAAAAACUGCUAUACCACACCUUUUGGAUUGUUUGAGUUUAAUGUUAUGAGCUUUGGACUAAGGAAUGCACCAUCAACAUUCCAGAGAUGCAUCCACCAAACUCUCCAAAACCUUGAUUUUACAUUCCCAUAUCUAGAUGAUAUCCUAAUAGCUUCCGAGUCAGAAGAGGAACACCAAAACCAUCUGAAGAUAGUAUUUGAAAGAUUUAGCAAAUACGGAUUGAGAAUAAAUAUGGAAAAAUCUGUCUUUGGAGUUAAAGAAAUAUAAUUCUUGGGUUAUUUAAUUACGCCUGAAGGAUUUAGCCCACUUCCAGAACGCGUAAAAGUUAUCCAAGAAUAUAAAUUGCCUACUACGAUUCAGGAAUUACGAGCCUUUUUAGGCAUGUUAAAUUUCUACCGUCCAUUUUUGAAAGAUGCUGCGGAAACACAAUCCAUUUUGCACGAUUACCUCAAAGAUUCAAAAAAGAAAGAUAAAAGAUUAAUUAAUUGGACCGAAGAAGCAAAAGAAAUAUUCAAUAAAUGCAAGAAUGACCUAGCAAAAGCAACACUGUUAAGCUAUCUCAAUUCAGAACUACCUCUGUCGCUUUGCACAGAUGCUUCAAAUUGGGCGAUAGGCGCAGUUUUGCAACAAUACGAGAACGAAGCAUGGAAGCCAAUUGCAUUCUUCUCGAAGAAGCUAAAUGAAAGUCAAAAAAAUUAUAGUACUAAUGAUCGAGAAUUACUAAGCAUAUACAUGUCAAUCAAACAUUUCAAAUAUAUGCUGGAAGGAAGAACAUUUAAAAUAUUUACUGAUCAUAAGCCCCUAGUCUUUGCCUUCAAGCAAAGAAAUGAUAAGGCAUCUCCGAGGCAAGUUAGACAACUACAAUACAUUUCACAAUUCCCUACAGAUAUCAUCUACAUCAAAGGAGAACAAAACAUAGUUGCUGAUAACUUAUCGAGAAUAGAAGACAUCACCAAGAUAAUCGAUUAUGAUGAGAUAGCAAAAGAACAAGAUAAAGAUAUGGAACUUAUAGAACUUAUCAAAAAAAUUCGAAUAAAUCUCUAAAAUUCAAACGCUAUCCAUUACCAUCUGGUAAAAGUUUGUGGUGCGACACAUCUACUGAAAAUAUUAGACCAUUCGUUCCCAAACAAUUCAGAAUGAAAAUUUUCCAACAAAUACAUGGAUUAUCACACCCUGGAAUUAAAACAUCUGUGAAAGACAUGACAUCGAGAUUUAUAUGGCCAGACAUACAAGUAGAUAUAAAAGAAUGGGCGCAAACUUGUAUUCAACGCCAAAGAAAUAAAACUUCUCGCCAUACAAAAUCAGAAAUUAAGCAAUUUAAAGAACCUGAUGAACGUUUCAGCACGGUUCACAUAGACUUAAUCGGCCCAUUUCCACCCUCCAACGAAUAUGUUUAUUGCCUCACGUGCAUAGACCGUUUCACUGGUUGGAUUGAAGCAAUACCCAUACGAAACGAAACUGCCGAAACAGUAGCAAGAGCAUUUUACGAAGGAUGGAUCACCAGAUUUGGAGUCCCAUAUGAAGUGAUCACCGACCAAGGAAGGCAGUUCACUUCGGAAUUGUUUAAAACCUUGGCGACUUUAAGUGGAGUGAAACUUAAGCACACCACCGCAUAUCCCCCACAAAGUAACGGAAAAAUUGAAAGAUUCCAUAGAACACUAAAA